GGCUGGAUAGCUCAGUUGGUAGAGCACCGGAUUGAAAAUCCGCGAGCGUGGUUUUCGAAGCCCAACUGAAAACCACUUCAAUCA
rnacentral:tRNA from 1 species